rnacentral:tRNA from 1 species
GGAGGGUAUAGCUCAGUGGUAGAGCACAUGCUUAGCAUGCACGAGAUCCUGGGUUCAAUCCCCAGUACCUCCA